CAAUGAUGAAAUCACCAAAAAUAGCUGGAAUUACCGGCAGAUUGGCAGUGGUGAGCCUACGGUUUUCUGAAG
ensembl:snoRNA